UAGGGAAUCUUCCACAAUGGGCGCAAGCCUGAUGGAGCAACACCGCGUGAGUGAAGAAGGGUUUCGGCUCGUAAAGCUCUGUUGUUAAAGAAGAACACGUAUGAGAGUAACUGUUCAUACGUUGACGGUAUUUAACCAGAAAGUCACGGCUAACUACGUCCAG
rnacentral:rRNA from 1 species